GCCAAGCCGAGCUCGCCUCGUGGGUUAAAAGAUCGACUCGGCCCAUUGUCAUCACUAAUAGCACGGUAAGAGCCGUGCCAGUCUGGAGGGCUCCGCAGCCUAACAGGUCUCGUAUUGAAAAAAGAAAAGAAAGCUAAGCAAAGAAGGGGGACAAAAUAAAACAAAAAUAAAAAUAAAAAGAGUGAAAGCAUGUGGGACCGGCACUGGGCAACAAAACAGCCUCUUACAUAAUCUCCCACUAAAUUCAGUCUCUGAGGUAAAAACACUUCAUCUUUGCUACCCCUCUUUUUCAGUCAUUGAAUUCUUCUCUCUGCACCAAAAAAAUAAAAAUAAAAAUAAAAAGCAGCUUAUAAUUAACACGAGUUGUAUCGGUACAUUUUAACAAAACUGAUCCUUUAAUUUAACAAUAGUCAUUAUUAGAGCACAAAACAAGAUGAUAUUAAAGCAAAAUUCCAAAACAAAUCCAGUGUAAAUAAACACAAUUUGAAAGAUGGAUGAAUCUAAGCCCCUGUUUGACACCCAUUUUAAUGAGUUUUUUGGCGGGAAAUGAAUUUCAAAAUAGUGUUUUUUAUUUUUUUUUUAAGAAUGUGUGGUUAAAAAAUAGGAAAAAAAUUUGGGUUUAAGUUCAAAAUAUUUUAUUAUAUGAAUUUAUGAUUGAAAAUGAGUUUGAGAAAAAAGAGUUUUGAUCUAAUGGAUGCCAAGGAGGGGCUUAAUGUUCUGAAUAAUUAUCCCUCUUGAUACACAACUCAAGUCACACGUUCUUGUCCCUAAAACCUUAACGAUAUGUUUGGUUAACGCUACACAAUACAAUAGACAAUAUUUUAACUUCUCUAUACCGUUUAAUCCUUUCAAGACUCCAUGUUAUCAAACAAGACAUGAAGGUGUUGAUAGCGUCGGUCCUGUGAUUUUUGGGGCCAGGGGCGAACUCCAAAAAUUAGGCCACCAAAAUCAACUUAAAUGCAAAAUCCAACAAAACCUAUUGUGUAUUAUACAACAUAUCGCUAACUUAAAACUUAAUAGUAAAACAAAAAAUAAAUAUAUUAUACAAAAGAUUUGUAUUAUAAAAUAACUAAACUAACAACGUUUCAAAUAAUCAUUUAAACACUAUUUGCCUUGCUGUUUUAGAGGUAAAAACAUUAAUCAAAUCUGAAUAAUUUAGUUAUUCAACUAUUUCUUUAUCUAUUAAUAACAUAGCUAAUCCGUUCAAUUUUUCUUGUGAUAUAGUUGUUCAAAGGUAAGUCUUGAUCAACUUCAAUUGGAGAAACUUUUUUUCACAAAAUAUUUCAAUCAUUUCACAAUUAAAAGUUUUCAAUAUAGUUACUAUGUGCGCUUGUGCAAUUGAUCCUACAAUAACCAAUCAUAUAAGCCGACAAACCUUUAAAUAUUUCCAAUAUAUUUAAUAACAAGUUAGGGCAAGCCAUUACUUACCUGAAAAGUAUAAUUUCGACAAAAAUGAUGGAAUCAUGCCGUUGAGAAUUCUGCUGUCACAAUUCACAAGCCUGAAAUAAAAAUUUGGCAGCAACCACCAAUAUAAUACCCAAAGUGGAAACCAAAAUCAAAAAGUGGAAACCAAACCAAACCAUAGACAAAAUUCAUUCCAGUUGAUAUUGUUCACCUCACUACUGACAUAUCUCACAAAAACAACAAACCUAAAAUAUUUAUGGCACCAACCAAGUGCAUAAGGUCUUCAAAUAAUAUACGAUUGAACAUGAGCACAAGUAAAGGAAAACAAAAUCUGGUUACUGGACUACUACGUAUGAUUUAUGUAAUAAUGUUAUGGCUCCAUUUGGGAUUUGGCAGUUCAUCAAAUAUAUCAUUAGCAACACGACAACUGACAUAUAACAUCUUUGCUAAUUAAUAUAUAUUUUUAUUUGUCAAUAGUAAUAAAAUAGAAGAAACACAAGAGUUGGAAAGCACAACCAAAGGAAAAAUGAGUCAAACCUUCAUCAGCAAGACAACAACACUCUGAUUGAGAUAAAUGUAGUCAAAGGCCCUUCUUAACAUCAAUCUACCUGAAAUAAAACCACAUACACAGGCUAAGUAAGAGAAGUUGUAAUUUUUCAAGGAGUUUACUUAGUCAUGAAUCUUGACAAGAAAAAAUUAAUUACAUAAUAAAUAUACCAUGAUCAAAUCGAAGAGGACAGACAAUAAAUUGACGAUCCGCACAAAAAAGAGAGGUAACAAACACUGAAAAAGGGCAAUAAAUUAGGCCUUUAGGGUUGAAAAUGGGUAACUUCUUGUUUUUGUGAUUUGUGAAGAGUAAAGGGAAGGGAGUGAUAUUUGGGAACUGGCAUGAAGAAGAUAAGUAGGGUUGGCCAAGGAAAUGAGGUUGUUGUCGAGUCGCCGUCGUCAAUCCAAUGAUUCUUGGAGUUGGAUUGGAGGCAGAGGUCGAGUUGGACAUCAUAGUUGUCGAAGAGGAGAGGAGGAAUGAAAUAUAAAAUCCAAUUUUCCAAUUUUCCUCAUUUAAUAUAUAUAUAUAUAUAUAUUUGGGAGAAAAGUAGGCCCAUCCGAUUUUGGGCCUAGAAGAAAAUAAUGAAUGGAAUGGAUCCUCUAUAUUUACAAAAAAAAAAAUAAUAAUAAUAAAUAAAUAAUAAUAAUAAAUAAAUAAAUUUUUGGAACAAAAAUAGGCUCCCUUAGAUUUUGGGCCCAAGGCCCCAGCUUCAAUAGUCUCGUAGCAGGACCGGCUAUGAGUGUUGAAUAGUAACUUGGGUCCAUAAUCAACUCAAUCAUUUUCUUCUAUAACAUGUUAUAGCUUACCCGAGAUGAUCUCAUUAGAUCUAUAAUAAAUAGGACUCUUUACAAAAUAAUUAUGAACUAACUAAAGAGGAAUAUACCAAGGAGAUUCUUAUUAAACAAAGAACAUUUUGAAUAAUGCCAAAGUCGUCUAUCAACAAAUACCAUGACAAAUUGGAAUAUGCCUAAAAUAUUCUUUUAAACCAUCCAACUUAACAAAAAUCACUGUCCACUUAAAUGUUGUUAUUCUACUUCAUGCCAUCUCACCACUGAAGGAAGCACUGUCAACAUCAGUUUAAUAAGAGCAAAAUGACUCCUCCAAUAACACUCUCCUCAUCUUAUAUUCAUACUUGGAUUCCUAUGUCUCCUAGUAAUUUAUGAGCCCAAAUCGUAAUUUUUCGUAUACUUGUUAAUCAACAAGUUAGUCCGCCUUAAUCAACGUCGCGCUCAAACUAAAAUUCAUCUUGCAGGUACAAUUUCUCUACUGUUUACAACCGACUAGGUUAUCAACCAAGCACAACACUCAGAAAAGUUCGACGGUUUCUACGUUGAUAAAGGGAAGUAUUCUAUGUUAUUCCAGUUUCAGAAGUAGUCGAAAUACCCUCUACCCCGCCCUGUCCCACUGCCCCAUCCCUCCUCCCCUUGUUUCCGUUCUCCUAAAAAUGAAGAGUAUGUUUUAGAAGUAGUUUAAAUUUCCCAUUACUCUUAACUAAUUUUUUUCAUACACAUAGAGCCCUCAGUUUAAAUUCAAAUCAAAUUGAUGCCUAUUUUCAAGCUUGUGUAAAAUUAAAUACUUAAACCAACAAAAUCACACGAAUCUUAAAUCAAAACAUAACAAAAAUGAUUGUUUACCUAAGAUAUAGUUAUAGACAUACGAGAAUUAAGGAAUAAACCUGGAAGCAGGUGAUGAAUACCUCCGGUUUAUCGACGUAGAAAUCGUUGAACUUUUCGAAUUCCUAGUUGAGAACCAGAUCUGCAGCUCGGCCAAAUGUGGUGGCGAUACCUUGCAUCACCCUCCGGCCGCGGGGAUUAUCUCCAUCUGGUAGGGUUUCUUCCGAAUAUAUUUUGAUUUCGUUUCAAAAUGAUGCCAUAUUUUGUUCAGUACAAUGCCUUGUAUCAUUCCUUCAUCAUUGAUCAAUUCUGUGCUUACUUUGGUUCAAAAAGAUCGAUUAAUUACUACAAUAAAAAUAUUAAUAAUUUAAAUUCUUUUUUUUUCCAAUCGAUAAUUGAAAAUUAUCAUUUCCCUCCGGGGGAAAACCUACCUCAUUUCCCCCAAUUUUCCCAUUCCAUUCCCUUCUUUGGCAGCAUAUAUUACAUCCGUUGUCUUGCCCAUCCUUUCCGUCAGACGGCCGGCCGCACUAUUAGAUUUCACAGUAAGCUUACUGGAGUCGUGAAGGGCAUUUCUGUUGCCAGCCAUUUAAAUUAGAACGAGGAAGAACAAGCUUUGCUAAAAUUUGAAAGCUAUUGAAGGUAUCUCUCUACAAAUGGUAAACUACUGGAGUCGUGAAGGGCAUUUCUGUUGGCAGCCAUAAAAAUUUGAACGAGGAAGCCACAAGCUUUGCUAAAAUUUGCCUGCUAUUGAAGGUAUCUCUCUGCAAAGUCUCGAUUUGUUUAAAGGCUUCGAGUAUGAUGAGGAGAGGCCCAAGUAUGGAAGGGCGCCUUAUGAUACUGAGGGUCAUGAAAGGCCUAGUUAUGGAAGGUCCGAGGAAGAUGACUAUAGGAAGACAAGCUAUACGAGGUGUGAUGAUGAUGACACCGACUAUGGCAGCAAAAAAUAUGUGAGUUUCUUUCUAGUUCUUGAUAUUCAUGAAUUAUAUGCAUAGACAACAUAAAGAACGUUAUUUCAUACAUUAUUCCUUAACAUUGUUAAUUGUUAUUCAAUUUUCUCAAUCAAAUGUAACAUCAAUGAUCACGGGUUUGGUUGACUAAUCCUAUGAUUUAAUUAGUUCCUAUCUUGAGCAUGACUGUUAAUUUUUGUUUCUAUUUAUAUGUAGUGAUAAUCGAAUUUGAACGUUCUUAAAGAAAUAUGUGCAGCCCACACAAUCAGAUUCUCACAUUUUGGCUUAUUUUUACUUGUUUAUUAAUCUUUGAUGGUGUGGAGUCGCAGAAUAGAUACUAGUUGAAUGAUCAAUUUUAACUUUUUUGUUUUAGUUUGAAUCUAUCAUUUAAAGAGAACAAUAAUCAAUUGUUAGAUUACGGUACAUCAUAAUUUUUCUGUCCUUUGCGAUCUCGAAUGACAAGGAAGUAAUGUUAAUUCUGAUGAGGACGAGGAUGAGGAGAAGAAGAAACGCCACAAGUCCCACCAUCACCACAAGAAGCACUAUGAUGAGUAAACAAAAAAAUCGUUCCUCGAUGAGCGGGCAAGAUGAAAUAAAAUAAGGAGUUAGGCAUUUUUUGUUUUAAAUGGUAUUCAUGUUGAGUUCUUUAGCAUAUUGGAUUGUAUCCAUAAUCAAUAAAAUAUAAUACUCUCUUCGUCUUAAUUAUAUAGAUUUGUUUCGUUUUUUCACACGAAUUAAGAAAUCUUCUUUAAUGUUAUUGAAAAAUUAAUUUUGUCAAGAUCUUUCGUAAUUUACUCUCAUUUAAUUUUCAGUUUGUCUGUAAAUUAUUGUUAGUAUUAAUAAAGAAUUUGAAUAAUUUAAUUUGAAGAAAAAGAAAUGGGAGUUGUUUCAUGUUUUCAAGAAGUGGAAAAUGUAAUCGAAUAGGUGCUACUAUCUUACUUGCAGCUAAUUGCACUCCGUGCACGAAAACUAAGUGUUAUCAUUCAGCUUCUAGAGUUGUGAACAUAUUAUUUGACAGGAAGGGAUCAAUAUGCAACCAAAAAACUAAACUUCAAAUAGGGAAUGAAGUCUGAUUUGCAAGCUACAUGAAUCAGUUUUCAACCCUCAGUCAUGGUCAUGAUAGAGUUUACCUUUUGAAGAUCACCAAUGCUAGGUGCAGAGGCGUGCAUAAUAGAUCGAUAAUGAACAUUACGAGGUAUCCUGUAAUAAAACUAGUUGUUGUUGAAUACCUUGGAACUAUGUGCAUCUAAAAACCCUUUUAUGGUAUAUCUUCGCCUGACAAAAUGAGAAUGUGUAUUCUUGAUCAUUGUGAAGGGAAAGUGAGACUAGACUUGAUCUGCACGGCAUUCCUAAUAACAUUCUUAAAUGCCUUGUUUUUGGUAAUAGAUGAGCAUUACUUGACCGGUUCUUAUUUCGUAAACAAGCAUAACAUAAAGAAAUUCAUCACUUUCAUCUUAAAAAUAAAAAGUAGGGCUCACAUUGCAGCAAGAGUGCUCGGGUAUAAAUCUAUAUAUUCCUCCCAAGUAACAAGGUUGUCUCCUGGGAUGAACAUCAGCAUAUGUUGCGCUUGUCUGAACUUGGGCAGUACGACAACAUAGGAACUCCAGAUUAGCCACCCAAGCAUGAACUAUUCUUUUGAGAGUUUCGUCGUGAAAAAGGGCAGAUGACAGCAAGGUCUGUAAAAGAAGAAACUACAAUCCCCUAGUUGUUUUCGGAGUUUUAACACGAGUGAAUGAAAUAUGCAGAAUUUUCAGAAAAUGUCUGAACCCACAUAAAUUAAUACAAGAGAAACAACAAGUGAACCGUGACAGCCCAUGGAAAACUUACAUUAGAUAUAUAAAGAUCAUGAGAAAUCAGCUUCUUCACAAUUCUGGAAUAAUGAUGACCAAGUAUUUCCUUUCUGGCAAAUGCUACAUAGUGCACACAAUGCAUUACACUCCUCUCACAUAGAGGGUCCACAAAUAUUUAUUGUGUGAGGAUCCCACCAUGUGAGGGGAUGUAAUGCAUUGUGUACACAUAACAUUUUCCUUUCUUAUGUCCAUCAUCUAGUCACUAAGUUCACUCUCUUGAGGUAAAAUAUUCCACCUACGUUUGAGCUUCAAUUUCCUCAAAACUAUAUUUUUUUUUUCCAAGACUCAUAUUAACCACACAUUUUGCCAUAAAUUAAUUUUAUACAUAAACUCGAAACUUUCUCUAUUUUAACCACACAUUUUCCAAACAAUCGCUAUUCCGAAACCUAUUUUCCCCCCAAAAAAUGGUGCUCAAACAGGGCCUCAAUCUUGUGUUCCAUCACUGGCCCGGGCAGCGUAGCACAGUAAGAGCCGUGCCAAUCUGGAGGUCUCCGCAGCCUAACAGGUCUGGUAUUGAAAAAAGAAAAGAAAGCUAAGCAAAGAAGGGGGACAAAAUAAAACAAAAAUAAAAAUAAAAAGAGUGAAAGCAUGUGAGACUGGCACUGGGCAACAAAACAGCC
rnacentral:lncRNA from 1 species